rnacentral:tRNA from 1 species
CACUAAGAAGCUAUAGGAUCAGCAGCAGCCUUUUAAGCUGCGGAUAGGUGAUUGCCCGCCCACCCUUAGUGA